CUAACUGGAGGACCGAACCGACUAAUGUUGAAAAAUUAGCGGAUGACUUGUGGCUGGGGGUGAAAGGCCAAUCAAACCGGGAGAUAGCUGGUUCUCCCCGAAAGCUAUUUAGGUAGCGCCUCGUGAAUUCAUCUUCGGGGGUAGAGCACUGUUUCGGCUAGGGGGUCAUCCCGACUUACCAACCCGAUGCAAACUACGAAUACCGAAGAAUGUUAUCACGGGAGACACACGGCGGGUGCUAACGUUCGUCGUGAAGAGGGAAACAACCCAGACCGCCAGCUAAGGUCCCAAAGUCAUGGUUAAGUGGGAAACGAUGUGGGAAGGCAUAGACAGCCAGGAUGUUGGCUUAGAAGCAGCCAUCAUUUAAAGAAAGCGUAAUAGCUCACUGGUCGAGUCGGCCUGCGCGGAAGAUGUAACGGGGCUAAACCAUGCACCGAAGCUGCGGCAGCGACACUUAGGUGUUGUUGGGUAGGGGAGCGUUCUGUAAGCCGUCGAAGGUGGUCUGUGAGGGCUGCUGGAGGUAUCAGAAGUGCGAAUGCUGACAUAAGUAACGAUAAUGCGGGUGAAAAACCCGCACGCCGGAAGACCAAGGGUUCCUGUCCAACGUUAAUCGGGGCAGGGUGAGUCGACCCCUAAGGCGAGGCUGAAAAGCGUAGUCGAUGGGAAACAGGUUAAUAUUCCUGUACUCGGUGUUACUGCGAAGGGGGGACGGAGAAAGCUAGGUUAUCCGGGCGACGGUUGUCCCGGUUUAAGCGUGAAGGUGGAUGACUUUGGUAAAUCCGGGUCAUU
rnacentral:rRNA from 2 species